UACGUAGGGUGCGAGCGUUGUCCGGAAUUACUGGGCGUAAAGAGCUCGUAGGUGGUUUGUCGCGUCGGAUGUGAAAACCCAGGGCUCAACCCUGGGCCUGCAUUCGAUACGGGCAGACUAGAGUAUGGCAGGGGGGACUGGAAUUCCUGGUGUAGCGGUGAAAUGCGCAGAUAUCAGGAGGAACACCGGUGGCGAAGGCGGGUCUCUGGGCCAAAACUGACGCUGAGGAGCGAAAGCGUGGGGAGCGAACAGG
rnacentral:rRNA from 1 species